GUUUACAACUCCCAAACCCCUGUGAACAUACCUUAAUGUUGCCUCGGCGGAUCAGCCCGCGCCCCGUAAAACGGGACGGCCCGCCAGAGGACCCAAACUCUAAUGUUUCUUAUUGUAACUUCUGAGUAAAACAAACAAAUAAAUCAAAACUUUCAACAACGGAUCUCUUGGUUCUGGCAUCGAUGAAGAACGCAGCAAAAUGCGAUAAGUAAUGUGAAUUGCAGAAUUCAGUGAAUCAUCGAAUCUUUGAACGCACAUUGCGCCCGCUGGUAUUCCGGCGGGCAUGCCUGUUCGAGCGUCAUUUCAACCCUCAAGCCCCCGGGUUUGGUGUUGGGGAUCGGCUCUGCCUCACGGCGGUGCCGCCCCCGAAAUACAUUGGCGGUCUCGCUGCAGCCUCCAUUGCGUAGUAGCUAACACCUCGCAACUGGAACGCGGCGCGGCCAUGCCGUAAAACCCCAACUUCUGAAUGUUGACCUCGGAUCAGGUAGGAAUACCCGCUGAACUUAAGCAUAUCAA
rnacentral:rRNA from 1 species